AUGAAUGGGGCCACGGCAGCUGGGCUGGGCUGGGCUCAGAUGGUGCCAAACCCUGGUUCUCCCUUCCCCCCGGAUCCCACACAGGUCCUUGCUGGCAGCCAGACCAGGACCAGAGGCUGUGCAGGUUCCUCCAGGAGCAGCAGCUUCCCAGCUGGCCCAGGGCAGAGCUUGAGGCACCUGCCAGCCCCCAGCCCGUGUCCCGCAGGAACCAGCAGUCUCCAGUGGUGCGGGUGGAGCUCUGUCCUGGCACCACUUGCUGCUCUCCGAGGGGACUCACCCAGCAGGGCAGUGUCAUUCCUGGAGAGCAGGGUGCCAGCACCGAGCCCCUGGCCCCACCUUCCACAGAGGCAGAGCGGAGCCAAGCACGGUGACAUUUCGUUUGGAGGAGUGCGAGCACUUUGGGGGCCAAGGCUGCUCUGUGCCAAGUCCCAGCCCACAGCAGAUUUAGCAGCCAAGCCAGAAAGUACUCAGAUGACAGAGCUGAUAAUAAAACCAUCGACAGAACCUGAACUAAUCCCCUUGGGCUGCUACUGGGCAUUUGCUCUGUUAUUAUUUCAUGGCACAGCAGCGAAGCGCACGUCUAUAAUAACCCAAUUACACACGCACACAUUCCCAGCACAAGGAGCUCUCUGUCCUCUCCCGUCCCCCAGAUCCCUCGCACGCCGCUGCUGUUCCCUGGCAGGCGCAGACCCUGCUGCUCGCAGCUCGGUCCCAGGUGCUGGGGUCGGGCAGGCAUGUGCAGGGAGAAAGAGCCGUGCUUCUCCCCUCCUGCCCGCGCCUUUGACUCUUCCCUUUAGUCUCGUCUCCCCGUAUCGCUUCUGGGACGGGCGGUGUGUUUGGGCAGCAGCGGUGCUCUGCUGCCUGGAGAGCACGGGGGAUGCCGUGUCCUCUCCGAAACUCUGCUUGUCCCGGUCCCCGUUCUCCCUCGGGAGCACGGCUGUGAAAACUCCCCAGCAAGCCAAGAGGAGCGGGAGCACCGCCGGGGCAGGAGCAGCCGUCCCGUGCCGGCAUCCCGAGCGCGGCUCGGGGAUGGAUGGAGCAGGGGGGAAGCCGGCUCCUCCCGUUCGGAUGUGCCGGGGAGACACCGCCCUCGGGCCAGCAGCGGAGAGCGGCGGGGGACACGGAGGGAGGCAGCGGCAAUUCCCGACUCACCGGUUUGUGGCGGCGGGCGGGCGCGGCGGGGGCGCAGUGCAGCAGAGCUGCGGCCAGCAAGGCGGCAGCGGCGGGCAGCGGCGGGCGGGCCAUGCCGGGCGGCGGAGCGGGCUCGGACAUGGGGCACGGGAGGGGCGGGGGGGGGGUCCUCGCCGAGCCUUUUAUCCCCCCACCGUGUCCGCCUGCCCUCCUCCUCGCGCCUCCUCCCGCUCCUGCCUUUUGUUCUCGCCGAGCCGCGGCUGCACGGGCCGGGGGGACACGGCCCGGCGGCAUCGCGGGAGGGGGGUCCCGGCUGCUCCGCCCUGCCAGCCCCCGGGGGCGGAGCGGGGCGGGACCCCCCUCCCACGCCUGCCCGGCCUCCGUGCGCCCGCUCCUGUCUGCCUUGGGGUGCCUUUAAACGGGAGCAUUUAA
ensembl:lncRNA